GACAGAGGGUGCAAACGUUGUUCGGAAUUACUGGGCGUAAAGCGCGUGUAGGCGGCAGCGCAAGUCGGAUGUGAAAUCCCACGGCUCAACCAUGGAAGUGCACCCGAAACUGCGUCGCUAGAGUCCUGGAGAGGAAGGUGGAAUGCUUGGUGUAGAGGUGAAAUUCGUAGAUAUCAAGCGGAACACCGGUGGCGAAGGCGGCCUUCUGGACAGUGACUGACGCUGAGACGCGAAAGCGUGGGGAGCAAACAGG
rnacentral:rRNA from 1 species